rnacentral:rRNA from 1 species
CCUGGCUUAGAACUAACGCUGGCAGUGCGUCUUAAGCAUGCAAGUCAAACGGGAUGUAGCAAUACAUUCAGUGGCGAACGGGUGAGUAACGCGUGGAUGAUCUACCUAUGAGAUGGGGAUAACUAUUAGAAAUAGUAGCUAAUACCGAAUAAGGUCAAUUAAUUUGUUAAUUGAUGAAAGGAAGCCUUUAAAGCUUCGCUUGUAGAUGAGUCUGCGUCUUAUUAGCUAGUUGGUAGGGUAAAUGCCUACCAAGGCGAUGAUAAGUAACCGGCCUGAGAGGGUGAACGGUCACACUGGAACUGAGAUACGGUCCAGACUCCUACGGGAGGCAGCAGCUAAGAAUCUUCCGCAAUGGGCGAAAGCCUGACGGAGCGACACUGCGUGAAUGAAGAAGGUCGAAAGAUUGUAAAAUUCUUUUAUAAAUGAGGAAUAAGCUUUGUAGGAAAUGACAAAGUGAUGACGUUAAUUUAUGAAUAAGCCCCGGCUAAUUACGUGCCAGCAGCCGCGGUAAUACGUAAGGGGCGAGCGUUGUUCGGGAUUAUUGGGCGUAAAGG